rnacentral:rRNA from 1 species
CAGCAGCCGCGCGAAAACGUAGGUGGCAAGCGUUGUCCGGAAUUAUUGGGCGUAAAGGGCUCGCAGGCGGUUUCUUAAGUCUGAUGUGAAAGCCCCCGGCUCAACCGGGGAGGGUCAUUGGAAACUGGGAAACUUGAGUGCAGAAGAGGAGAGCGGAAUUCCACGUGUAGCGGUGAAAUGCGUAGAGAUGUGGAGGAACACCAGUGGCGAAGGCGACUCUCUGGUCUGUAACUGACGCUGAGGAGCGAAAGCGUGGGGAGCGAACAGGAUUAGAUACCCCCGUAGUCCCUGUCUCUUAUAC